ACUGACAGCCAUGGUUACCGCGGCUGCUGGCACGGAGUUAGCCGGUGCUUCUUCUGUGAGUGAUGUCCUUCCUGCCGGCUAUUAACCCGCAGGCCUUCUUCCUCACUGAAAGUGCUUUACAACCCGAAGUCCUUCUUCACACACGCGGCAUGGCUGGAUCAGGGUUGCCCCCAUUGUCCAAUAUUCCCCACUGCUGCCUCCCGUAGGAGUCUGGGCCGUGUCUCAGUCCCAGUGUGGCUGAUCAUCCUCUCAGACCAGCUACGGAUCGUCGCCUUGGUGAGCCGUUACCUCACCAACCAGCUAAUCCGACAUAGGCUCAUCCGAUAGCGCGAGGCCCGAAGGUCCCCCGCUUUCCCCCGUAGGGCGUAUGCGGUAUUAGCCUGGGUUUCCCCAGGUUAUCCCCCACUACCGGGCAGAUUCCUAUGCAUUACUCACCCGUCCGCCGCUCGCCACCAGGGAGCAAGCUCCCCGUGCUGCCGCUCGACUUGCAUGUGUUAGGCCUGCCGCCAGCGUUCAAU
rnacentral:rRNA from 1 species